GAUGAACGCUGGCGGCGUGCCUAACACAUGCAAGUCGAGCGGGGCAUAUUCCUUCGGGGGUAUGUUCAGCGGCGGACGGGUGAGUAACGCGUGGAUAACCUGUCCUACUCUUCGGGAUAACAGCCNGGAAACGGCUGCUAACACCGGAUAAGCCCACAGAAUCGCAUGGUUCUGCGGGAAAAGGUUACGGAGUAGGAGGGGUCCGCGUCUGAUUAGAUAGUUGGUGGGGUAACGGCCUACCAAGUCUGCGAUCAGUGGCCGACCUGAGAGGGUGAUCGGCCACAUUGGGACUGAGACACGGCCCAAACUCCUGCGGGAGGCAGCAGUGGGGAAUAUUGCACAAUGGACGGAAGUCUGAUGCAGCAACGCCGCGUGAGGGAAGAAGGUUUUCGGAUCGUAAACCUCUAUCGAUAGGGACGAAAAAAAUGACGGUACCUAAGUAAGAAGCCCCGGCUAACUACGUGCCAGCAGCCGCGGUAAAACGUAGGGGGCAAGCGUUAUCCGGAAUUACUGGGUGUAAAGGGUGAGUAGGCGGCUACGCAAGUCAUAUGUGAAAGCCCACGGCUUAACCGUGGGACUGCAUAAGAAACUGUGUGGCUAGAGUACAGGAGAGGUAAGCGGAAUUNCCUUGUGUAGCGGUGAAAUGCGUAGAUAUAAGGAAGAACACCAGUGGCGAANGCGGCUUACUGGACUGAAACUGACGCUGAGUCACGAAAGCGUGGGGAGCGAACAGGAUUAGAUACCCUGGUAGUCCACGCGGUAAACGAUGAUAGCUAGGUGUCGGGUCGAGAGAUUCGGUGCCGGCGUAAACACAAUAAGCUAUCCACCUGGGGAGUACGGCCGCAAGGCUGAAACUCAAAGGAAUUGACGGG
rnacentral:rRNA from 1 species